rnacentral:lncRNA from 10 species
CAUACCUAAGGGUUACAGCAGGUCGUUUCAGCAGCUGGGCUUGGGGAUGAUUCCUGAAGCAGGUGCUAUGUGCCUUGAGUGCUUUUCCCUCCCAGGUCCCUUGACUUUUAUUUAGUUGGGUAUGACAAAAAUAACUCAAUUUCUAUAAUCAAUUCUCACAGUGCUGGCUCAGUGUCCUCUGACACCCCACCCUCCCUAACCUAGGCAUGCAGAGAGCAAGUCAAAGAGUCUUGGCACCAAGUUUCACUGCCCAGAACGCUCAGCAUGAAGAAAUAUGAAUUCUAUACACAAUUACUGCAGUGUUUAUUCAAAAAGUCACUUAUCCUGUCUUCCUAAGAAGCAAAAUUAUUGUAUUAAACACCACACUGCUACCUUCCUGACAGCAUUUUUAUGUGUCCUUAAUUUUAAUACCUCUCUAGGUUGUUCGCUUGAUUAGUUUUAGGGAAAAUAUGAGAACCUGAAUUUAGUUCACUGCCAUUGAUGACUCAUUUUGCAACCUUGUUUAAAUCAGAUAUUAAUAAUCAAAUACAACGUUGUGCUCCAACAAGUCUGACGAUUCAGAAGCUGUUUGGAAUUCAUGAAAUCAAUACACAAAUAUAGAAUCAUUAUUGCUUUGCCAAAUGAAAUUUAAUAGGAGGGCGUUGUUUUGGACUGAGCUCCUGCACUAAGCCCCAACAAACCAGAGCAAACCAGAAUGGAGUCAGUCAUGCUAAGUACCACAUAGUCAAACUGAACUUUAAAAUGGUUUUCCAAGGAAUAGGAAACUCACCGCAGCCAGUCAAAAGGAGCCUAGUCACCCUGAAUAGGCAUGAUGAGAAAGUUCUCUCAGCCUGAAUCCUAGAAGUAGAGUAACUUGGAAAUGACCAGUUGGCUUUCUGUUCCCUGUUUCUGCUUCUGCAGCUCUGUAUGCCUAUAAAGCCCACCUCCUCUGCUCAGCCCAUUGGAGGGUCUUUUCUAUUUCAUAAAUGAGAUGCUACCUAAUUCAUGAAUUGCUAAUAAAAGCCAAUUUGAUAUUUUAACAAAAUAUGUUGAAAUUUUGUUCUUCAACAGCAUGAACCCCAAACAAUUUAGCAGCUCACAGCUUUACUAGCUCUAUCUCAGUCCUCCACAAUCUCUCACUACUUUCAUUUGUCCAUCCCCACCUCCUCAUCUUCCUGCCACAGUCACACAGACACACACGCUCAGCUGUUAUUUGAGAGACUGAAAUCAAAUCAACUGAAUAAGGAAAUUGAACGCAAACUUAACUGGUUGAUUCUUUUUUUCAUCAUAUACAUUGUUCCCUCAUCUCUGUAAUACCUUUCAACUACCUACUGGGCAGAAUUGAUGGAAAAAAUAAACAUGUAGAUCAAUGGCAUAAAAUACAAAGCCCCAUAUAGAUCCCUCUAAAUGUGGAUUUCUAUAGUUUCAAAUUAUAGAGAGAGACAUCACAAAGCAAAAUAUAAUCAGCUUGCAUAUGCCAAAGCACGUGUGUCCACUGCGGAGGGGGUGUUGGAAGCCCAUAACUAUAAGGAACCAGAGAGAGGAAGAAAACUUGCAGGAGAAGCAAUAGAUGAAAAAUAAAUGUCCCUAUUAGAUAAACAGCUCUUUGAAAUUUAUUUUUAAAGCAUCAAGAAUUCCAUAGAUGCAAACGUUGAAAAAAACGGUCAUCUUAGUAAUCACUGUCAAUGCAAUUCUUUGUUUUGUUUUGUUUUGUUUUUUUGUUUUGUUUUGUUUGAGA